GUCGCAGUUGCAAAUGAGAACUUGUUCUCAACUAGCCUACCUGGUUAAAUAAAGGAGAGAGACCAGACUCUGACAGCGGGAAGAGUUCCUCAGAGGAAACAGACAUGGAGACGCCUAACCAACACCACUGCUACCACUGUGGAAAGAGUUUUAAGUGGUUAGGGAGCCUGAAAAUGCAUGAUGCAUGAGAGAACACACACGGGAGAGAAGCCUUAUCACUGUUCCCACUGUGGAAAGAGUUUUAGGUGGUUAUGGGUCCUGAAAAAGCAUGAGAGAAAACACACAGGAGAAAAGCCUUUCCAACAUACUAAUACACAGGAGGAGAAGACAUACCACUGCUCUCAUUGUGAAAAGACAUUUUCCCAGUCAGAGGACCUGAAAUCACACGAGAGAAUAGAGAGGCUGAGUUCUGACUUUGUCCAUGGCCAGGAUUCACAGGGCCAGGGUGUCCGCUAUAGGUACCUGGGAAAAAAAUCAGCAGCGGACAUUUUUGAACAUUUAUCCAACAGACCUGUACAUCCAUGAAUGGAUCUCUAUAGUGUGUAACUAUUUCUGCUGUAUUGUUUAAUUGUACAAUGUUAUUUCAACAGAUUUUACUGAUGCUAUUAGAUUUUACAUUUAUCUGUGGGUUUAUUUCAACAGAUUUUACUGAUGCUAUUAGACUGCUGUGUGGGGGGAGUUUUAUAUAUACAGAGACUUCAGAAAGUAUUCACACCCCUUGACUUGUCCCACAUGUUGUGUUACAUCCUGAAUGUAUAAUGGUUCCCCCUUGACUUGUCCCACAUGUUGUUGUGUUACAUCCUGAAUGUAUAAAGGUUCCCACUUGACUUGU